rnacentral:ncRNA from 1 species
GAAUGGGGAAUGAGGUUCUCCCCCGGUUUUUGGCAAUAUGAACGCCUGGAAUCGAAACCGCUUUUUAGCUGAUGACUUCUGCCUU